rnacentral:rRNA from 1 species
GAUGAACGCUGGCGGCGUGCCUAAUACAUGCAAGUCGAGCGAACAGACGAGGAGCUUGCUCCUCUGACGUUAGCGGCGGACGGGUGAGUAACACGUGGAUAACCUACCUAUAAGACUGGGAUAACUUCGGGAAACCGGAGCUAAUACCGGAUAAUAUAUUGAACCGCAUGGUUCAAUAGUGAAAGACGGUUUUGCUGUCACUUAUAGAUGGAUCCGCGCCGCAUGAGCUAGUUGGUAAGGUAACGGCUUACCAAGGCAACGAUGCGUAGCCGACCUGAGAGGGUGAUCGGCCACACUGGAACUGAGACACGGCCCAGACUCCUACGGGAGGCAGCAGUAGGGAAUCUUGCACAAUGGGCGCAACCCUGACGCAGCAACGCCGCGUGAGUGAUGAAGGUCUUCGGAUCGUAAACCUCUGUUAUUAGGGAAGAACAACUGUGUAAUUAACUAUGCACGGCUUGACGGUACCGAAUCAGAAAGCCACGGCUAACUACGUG